CUAGGCUAAUUAAAAAAAGAAAAAGACUCAUGAAAGGAAAAAAUAUUUGUGGAAGCUCGAAACAUGAGAGAUGAGAUAUCAACCCUUGCGCUUUCUCUCCUCUCUCAGUCUCCGGCUCUCUUUCUUCUCUGACGGACGACAAAACAGUUAAACAGAAUGGAGAUCGUGGUUAACAAGAAAAGAAGAUUAAACCCAGGUUCAGAUGGCUGCCCUCCUCUUGAUGGUGGUGUUCUCACAUAUGACUGGGCUCAGCUUGACCGUGAUGUUCCUCUUGAUGGUGGUGUUCUCACAUAUGACUGGGCUCAGCUUGACCGUGAUGUUCUCGAAUGCAUCUUCAAGCACCUGGAUUUCAUCGACUUGUGUCGAACAAAAACAGUUUGUCCAUGGUGGACCAAGACCUUUGCAUAUACUUUUAAGAAACUCCACGCAUGUCCUGCUUUGCCGUGGCUAGUUUUCCCUCCUCGAGAAGACAACGAUCAUAUUUGUCGAGGGUUCAAAACUGGUUGAUUCUGGGAUUUUGAGGACGAUAAAUUCUACCCAUUCAAUAAUAUAGCCGCUGAGAACUAUUGCUUUAUCGGCUCUUCUCAUGGAUGGUUAGUAUGUUUAGACAAACAAGCUGUUCCUUUCCUUUCAAAUCCUUUCACUUCUGAAAAAAUUCAACUUCCCCCAUUGGGUUCUUUGCUGGGCAUAUCUGGUUUUGAGAGGACAGCGAAUGGUCAGUAUGAGAUUGGUUUGAGAAUGCCCGAUGAAACAAGAUUCAUAAGAACACUGCGAGAGCGCUUUGUCAGAAAGGCAGUACUCUCAUCAUGUCCGUCUCAUCGCCACAAGUUUUAUGCAGUGUUAAUCUAUGGCCCGGAGCUAAGGCUAGCUUUCUACAAAGAUGGUGACAGCUCCUGGACUGAGCUUGUUGGUGGACAUAAACCCUAUGAACCCUAUGAAGACAUCAUAUGCAACCA